AUGGGACUCUCAAGAGUCUCCUCCAGCACCAUAAUUCAAAAGCAUCAAUUAUGGUGCUGGAGGAGACUCUUGAGAGUCCCAU